rnacentral:lncRNA from 1 species
UGACCAUCUGGGUAGGGGCUGAGUGGUUAGAGAGAGAGACCAUCUGGGUAGGGGCUGAGUGGUUAGAGAGAGAGAGACCAUCUGGGUAGGGGCUGAGUGGUUAGAGAGAGAGAGACCAUCUGGGUAGGGGCUGAGCGGUUAGAGAGAGAGACCAUCUGGGUAGGGGCUGAGCGGUUAGAGAGAGAGACCAUCUGGGUAGGGGCUGAGUGGUUAGAGAGAGAGACCAUCUGGGUAGGGGCUGAGUGGUUAGAGAGACCAUCUGGGUAGGGGCUGAGUGGUUAGAGAGAGAGAGACCAUCUGGGUAGGGGCUGAGUGGUUAGAGAGAGAGAGAGACCAUCUGGGUAGGGGCUGAGUGUGGUUAGAGAGAGAGAGACCAUCUGGGUAGGGGCUGAGUGGUUAGAGAGAGAGAGACCAUCUGGGUAGGGGCUGAGUGUGGUUAGAGAGAGAGAGAGAGACCAUCUGGGUAGGGGCUGAGUGGUUAGAGAGAGAGACCAUCUGGGUAGGGGCUGAGUGGUUAGAGAGAGAGACCAUCUGGGUAGGGGCUGAGUGGUUAGAGAGACCAUCUGGGUAGGGGCUGAGUGGUUAGAGAGAGAGAGACCAUCUGGGUAGGGGCUGAGUGGUUAGAGAGAGAGACCAUCUGGGUAGGGGCUGAGUGGUUAGAGAGAGAGAGACCAUCUGGGUAGGGGCUGAGCGUGGUUAGAGAGAGAGAGACCAUCUGGGUAGGGGCUGAGUGGUUAGAGAGAGAGAGACCAUCUGGGUAGGGGCUGAGUGGUUAGAGAGAGAGACCAUCUGGGUAGGGGCUGAGUGGUUAGAGAGAGAGAGACCAUCUGGGUAGGGGCUGAGUGGUUAGAGAGAG